ensembl:lncRNA
AAAAUUUCACCAUGUCUGAGGUGUAAGUGAGUGGUGAAGUCGUGUCAAAGUUUGUAUCUAUACUUUCCAAACUCUGCAUUGGGUUAGGGUUUUCCUCAUCGCCAUGGUCAUCUACAGAGCUUUCAUUCAGGAUGCUGUCCUUUGCUCCUGAAUCAUCUGUUUUCUCGGGGAAGUCUGCACCCACGGACUCGAGACAGAGCUCAGUCUGUGUGCAGGCCAGAUCUGCAUUUUCCAUGGUAUCCCAAGUUAAUCUCAUAUAUGUGUUACAAAAUUUCAGCAUGUCUGAGGUGUAGGUGAGUGGGGAAGUCAUGCUGAAGUUUGUUUCUGUACUUUUCAAACUCUCAAUUGGGGAAGAGGAAUUCAGUUGAUGGGUGGUUGGAGUUAAGGCAGACAUGUGUGCUCUUUGCAAACUGAAUGUGCUUAAAUUACAGUCGCUGUUCUGAUGCAUUAAUGCUCUCUGAACUAAACUGUACUAGAGUGCUUAAGGUCUAUUUAUGGACUUUAGCCACGCCCACUUUAAAGACCAUAAAAGGACUGCUCAUAGAUCAAAGCCUGACGUCAGACGGUGUUCCUUGUUCGAAGAAAACUCUGGUUAAAGCCAUUAAGGUUUGGAUCGGGAAAUGCCAAGCUAGAAUCGGAGUUUGAUCCGCUGAGCGAGAAACAAGAUGGCGAGCCACCCACGGACCCAUUGAACUGUACCGAGCAGGAAAAGGGAAAACCGCCCCUGCUGGAUGUUGAGUUCUUUCGCUAAAAGAAACUGGUAGGACUAAUCCAUACACCUCUGCAAAAGAACAGUGGACUUUCAAAGCACUGGACAAUCAUUCAGAGCAAUUCCAGGAUUUAUAGUUAAAGGACACAGAGACAAUUUUCUUUUGUUUAUUUGUUUGUUUAAGGGAUUUGUUCAGCCUUUUGCUGAAUUGUUUUCAGUUUUUACAUGUUUUUUUGUAAUUUAUUUUGGUCAACCUUACAUUUUAAUGCUGUAAUGGUGUUAAUGGAAAUGUAAAUAAUUUUGUUGGGUUAAAACAAAAUAAGAACUGGUUGAAAUUUAAAGGUGAACCUAGACCAAGAUUAAAUUAAAUCUUGGGCCUAAAGAACUAAAACUUGAUUUAAAAUAACACAGUGUUAAUUCAAAUAGAUUAAAGGAUAAACUUGAACUUAGGAUUUGGAAUAAAUAAAAUAACAUCCUUUUAAAGCCAAAUAAAAGGUUUUGAGAUAAAUAGGAUAAAUUAACAGAAAUUACUGAACUAAAAAAGGGGAAGAAAAUAUCUUGUUUUCCUUAAAUGUGUGAUGUUGAAUGUUUUAUGUAAUUGUGUGUUAACUGUCUAUUCUGUCUUCACAAAAUAAUAAGCCGGCA